UACGUAGGGCGCAAGCGUUGUCCGGAUUCACUGGGUGUAAAGGGUGCGUAGGCGGGAAGGCAAGUCAGAGGUGAAAUCUCACGGCUCAACCGUGAAACUGCCUUUGAUACUGCUUUUCUUGAGUUAGGGAGAGGUCGAUGGAAUUCCAGGUGUAGCGGUGAAAUGCGUAGAUAUCAGGAGGAACACCGGUGGCGAAAGCGCUCAUCUGGCCCAAUACUGACGCUGAGGCGCGAAAGCUAGGGGAGCAAACGGG
rnacentral:rRNA from 1 species